AAAAUACUACCAUCUAAUUUUAGGAUGAAUAGUUCCACUUUUAUUCUAAAAAUAAAAUUAUGGGCUUUAUAGUUACAUAUUCGCAAAUAUUUGACUUUUAAAAAAUGUAUAUAUGUCAAUCCUGAUGAAAAGGAUGGUUCAUGAACACCCAGAAAUAAGUGAUCAUGAGGAAUUAGCCUGUGUUCUCACUAAGGCCAAGUGAUUUCAGACUGUCCUCAUUUCCUUCUUUGACAGAUUAGCUACAUCAGUAGAUCUUGGAAAUUAGACAGACACAUUACAUCAGGUCUUUAGCAAGACGCCUGGCAAGUCACUUGAUGAUAUCCCUGUGGUCGAAGUGAAGAAAUGUGGAAACAACAUGCUAGAAAACAAGGUCUCACUCUAUCGCCCAGGCUGGACUGCAGUUGCGUGAUCAUGGCUCACUACAGCCUCAACCUCCCGGGCUUAGGUGAUCCUCCCACCUCAGCCUCCCAAGUAGCUGCAACUACAGAAAAACCAAGUAUAUAACAAGUCACAAACGGAACUACCCUUUGCAAGCUGCAGGAUUGAGAAAAACAGUGGCCUUCUUCACUUGUGCAUUGGGAGGAAUGAGUUGAUUGCCAAACACCUAAAAAAGAAAAGAGCAAAGUUUUCAGUAAAAGUCCAUUUAUUUGGUAAAUGUCACAUGUAUUCUUUCAUUCCAAAAAAAAUGUACUUGCAGCACAUAUGGUAUCUACCCUUGGGGAAAAAUAUUCUUUCAUGAUCUCAUAUUAACAAAAACGCCAUCAACAACAACAAAAAGUAACAUUAUUUAAUGACAAUAAGCUGUAUUUUGUAUUGGAAUAAAAAAAUCCUGCUUUAUCUACUAGAGGCAAAUAACAUUUAUUUUCUCUAUAAGAUAUAGCUAGGUUUAUUAUAACAUAUAAUUAGUAAGGCCAUAGUCUGUCAGGAGAGAAGUUUAAUCUAUGUCUUCAGUUUUCAGAGUACAAUAUUCUCUCCAGCUCAUCACUAAAAUCUGUUCAUGAAGAA